rnacentral:lncRNA from 1 species
CCGCAUCCGGAGAGGAGGAACCCAAACCAAUAUGGUGCGGUACUGAAGGGUGCUAAAGGCCAUUUCAAAAUUAGUUGGGAAAACGAGGAAACAGACCCAAUCCAGUACCAGCCCGCGCGAGCUAGUCCUGGGGGACCUGAUCCAAAGCAUCACGUUUAAGAAUCCUUGGACGGAUCUUCCAGCAGAGCUAGCUGCAGGCGUUCUGCAAGGAUUGGAAUGUAGAAAGCUUUUUGUAUUGCUACUGCUAAUAUUUAUGUACGUUCCGUGGAUGCAUGUACGGCUGGCCAUUUCCUAAUGGUUG